UACGAAGGGGGCUAGCGUUGCUCGGAAUUACUGGGCGUAAAGGGCGCGUAGGCGGAUAGUUUAGUCAGAGGUGAAAGCCCAGGGCUCAACCCUGGAAUUGCCUUUGAUACUGGCUAUCUUGAGUUCGGGAGAGGUGAGUGGAAUGCCGAGUGUAGAGGUGAAAUUCGUAGAUAUUCGGCGGAACACCAGUGGCGAAGGCGACUCACUGGCCCGAUACUGACGCUGAGGUGCGAAAGCGUGGGGAGCAAACAGG
rnacentral:rRNA from 1 species